rnacentral:rRNA from 1 species
UACGUAGGUGGCGAGCGUUGUCCGGAUUCAUUGGGCGUAAAGCGCGCGCAGGUGGUGCGGUAAGUCCGUCGUGAAAUCUCCCGGCUCAACUGGGAGGGUGCGGUGGAGACUGCCGGACUGGAGGCACUCAGAGGCCGGUGGAAUUCCCGGUGUAGUGGUGAAAUUCGUAGAUAUUCGGAAGAACACCAGUGGCGAAGGCGGCUCACUGGUCCGGUACUGACGCUGAGGUGCGAAAGCGUGGGGAGCAAACAGG